rnacentral:lncRNA from 1 species
GAACUUAUUCGUUUGAUUAAUUAACAUAUUAAUUAAUCCUUGCCAUAAAUAAAUGAUUAAACCAUUUAAUCAUUUUUACUCAUCUCCAUUGUUUCUUCAAUCUCCACCUUACACGGUGUGCGAUCCAUUAGGUUCCUUUUUAGCGAGGCAGUGGGCGAUUAAAACCAUUUUAUAUCGAUUGUGAAUUGAAACUUACUUUCAA